CCAAUAGCGUAUAUUAAAGUUGUUGCAGUUAAAAAGCUCGUAGUUGAAUUUCGAGAUCAAAUUGUUGGUCGUGCCUUGGUACGUACUGACAUUAUUGGUUUCUCCCUUCUGAAGAACCAUGAUGUCAUUAAUUUGGUGUCAUGGGGAAUCAGGACUGUUACUUUGAAAAAAUUAGAGUGUUUAAAGCAGGCUCGCGCUUGAAUACAUUAGCAUGGAAUAAUGAAAUAGGACGUUUAAUUCUAUUUUGUUGGUUUCUAGGAUUGACGUAAUGAUUAAUAGGGAUAGUUGGGGGCAUUAGUAUUCAAUUGUCAGAGGUGAAAUUCUUGGAUUUAUUGAAGACUAACUACUGCGAAAGCAUUUGCCAAGGAUGUUUUCAUUAAUCAAGAACGAAAGUUAGGGGAUCGAAGACGAUCAGAUACCGUCGUAGUCUUAACCAUAAACUAUGCCGACUAGGGAUCGGAUGAUGUUAAUUUUUUAAUGACUCAUUCGGCGCCUUGCG
rnacentral:rRNA from 1 species